rnacentral:rRNA from 1 species
UACGUAGGGGGCAAGCGUUGUCCGGAAUUAUUGGGCGUAAAGCGCGCGCAGGCGGCUAUUUAAGUCUUAUGUUUAAACCCAAGGCUCAACCUUGGUCCGCAUAGGAAACUGGGUAGCUUGAGUGUAGGAGAGGAAAGUGGAAUUCCACGUGUAGCGGUGAAAUGCGUAGAUAUGUGGAGGAACACCAGUGGCGAAGGCGACUUUCUGGCCUAUAACUGACGCUGAGGCGCGAAAGCGUGGGGAGCAAACAGG